UUUACUUUGUGUUCCUUGAUGCAUUGGAGUAGGUAAUAGGCAAUAGUAGGUCCCCGUGUUCUUCAUUAGGACCUGGGUAUGUUUCGGUAAGUAAGGGCCUGGCAGUAAGCUUUAGUUUCUUACAGUGUGCCUACGUUGUAUAAGGGAGGAGAAUAGGGAGGUUGCCAAGAUAUACAUAAGCAGAGAAAUUGGGAAUUUCAGUUAAGUUGCCUACGAUAGAUACUGUUGGCAUUGGCUAAGUCAGGAACAAAGUGUAAUAAGCAAGGCUACAUAGAUUGAAACUUUGGGGAUAAGGCAGAAGGUGAGUGAUUUUUUAAAGGGGGCAUUUGGGAGGUUACAGUGGCCACUAAAGGGGGUACAGGUUUGCUGGGAAAACUGUAUGUUGGACUUGGAGCAGACGGGGGUUUUAGAAUUGUUCUUUGAUGGGCUGUGGCAUGAAACUGUGAUAGAAUAUCUUGAGUUGGCAUCAAGGUUGGAACUAUGGUUGUGCUGAAGUUAUCAUUCGGGAUGCUUUGAUCUCUUUGGGCUGAGACCCUCAUCCCUGAGCUGAUGGUUGUUGUUUGUGCUGUCAUCUGUGAUUGAGUGGUAGGUAGUACCUUUAAGGAACCAUGUAGUAGAUGAUGGAAACUCAUGGUAUGAAUCCUGGGCGAACACCCAAGACCUCAAGGCAAAGUUCUACAUUUGAGAAAUUAUUGCAAGACUGACUGAAGACCAAGGGAUGCUCUGGGGCACGUUGGCUCUACCAGGUGACCUCAUAUGCAUCAGAUGUAGAAUAUAAGUAGUCUUAGGAGCUCUACCUAUACAGAUACACAUUGUGUCUUCUGUCACUUUUACCUCCAUUUGUUAUCAAGUAAAGCUGUGAAGUAACUGAAUGCCCAAACAGCAUUGAGCUGGAGUGGGAGAAUCCCAGGCCCAGAUCAUGAGCCAAAUGAGAUAAGGUCAGGCCAAGUAGAGCUAUAAUGUCCCACAAUGACAUAUUUUUGCCUUUGAUGUGUGGUCCUCAGCAUGCUGGGGGUGCCUGCUUAUUACGAUGGGAAUCAUGGGCAUUGUCAUCCCAGAUCCUGUAAUGGCUCCCCCAUUCCCAUUAAGUAUUUACAUAAUGGGCUGAAGCCAGAGCUGGUGUCCUAUUUAAGAAUGUUGGUGCUGGGUAGGGCACUUGGGUGGCUCAGUAGGUUAAGUGUCUGAUUCUUGAUUUUGGCUCAGGUCAUGAUCUCAGGGUCAUGAGAUCAAGCCCCAUGUUGGGCUCCCUGCUAAGUGUGGAACUUGCCCAGGAUUCUCUCCCUCUCCCUCUCCCUCUGCCUCCACUCUCUCACAUGCACAUGUGUGCUCACAUGCAUUCCCUCUCUCAAAAAAAAAAAAAAAAAAAUGGUGCUGGGAACUAAUUUAAGAUCUUCCCCUUGUUUAAAGAUCUACACAAUUACAGGUAUGGGACUGGGUACAAGACAUACUUCCUAUAAAGGGAGACCUCCCAUUAGCCAACCUUUAUACUGUUGGGGAAGGGUAGCAAGUUUGGCAGAGACCUUUCUUGUGGCCUAUAGAAUAAUCUUUUCAGCAGUCAUGGGCCCUCAGUUCCCAGUGGAUCCCAUUCUAUUAUCUGCCCUAGAACUGGUUGCCAGUCCAGCAUACAUUGUGCCAGAACUGAAGAGGCAGGAUUUGGGGGGAGGGUGCCUUUGGGUGAAAAAGGGAGUUCUAUCUGGGUAUUAUAGAGCCUGGAAAGAAAAAGAAUGGUCCCCUGGUGGCAUUUUGGCAGUCUUGGGACCUAAAAAUUGAAAGUUUAAGGUGACUAAAGAAAUGUGCAGAAGAGAGAGCCAUUUGGAAGCCAUUAUCCAUUUUGUGAUUUUAGUAUAUGUGCUGCCAAAUCGAGCACCCAUUUUGUGAUUUUAAUAGGGCAUCCUUCAGAGGACCAUUUUUUCUCUAUCUGUAUAUGAUAGGAUAAACGCAUGUUCCAAAUGAUGUUUUUUUUUUGGUAAGGUGUGUGCCUGAACUGAAUGAGCACUAAUGUGUAUCCUGAUCAGAGUCAGUGAUAUCUGGGGGCCCAGAGGAGAUGUAAUCAAGUUUUAUUUUUUUUUUAAUUUUUUUUUAAAGAUUUUAUUUAUUUAUUUGACAGAGAGAAAUUACAUGUAGGCAGAGAGGCAGGCAGAGAGAAAGAGGAGGAAGCAGGCUCCCUGCUGAGCAGAGAGCCCGAUGCGGGGCUUGAUCCCAGGACCCUGGGAUCAUGACCUGAGCUGAAGGCAGAGGCUUAACCCACUGAGCCACCCAGGCGCCCCUGUAAUCAAGUUUUAAUGAAGUCUAUUAUGGUGAUGUUGGCGAGGCACACCAGGAAGAAUAAUUCAGGAAAUCAGUUUACAUAAUAUUACAGGAUAUUAUAAAGGAUACAAGUCAGCUUUCUUCCCCUUUCUUUCUUCGGGGACUCCCAUAAUAUGUAUAUUUUCCUAUAGUAUAACCCAUAAUUCACAUGGGCUUUCUUCACUCUUUUUCUUCUCUAAAAAUUUCUUCUUUUUAAAAAUUUCUUUAAAAUUUAAAAAAGAUUUUAUUUAAUCAUUUGACAGAGAGAGUGGAGAGGGAACACAACCAGGGAAAGUGGAAGAGGGAGAAGCAGGCUUCCCACCAAGCAGGGAGCCCGAUUCGAGGCUCGAUCCCAGAACCCUGGGAUCAUGACCUGAGCCGAAGGCAGACGCACAACAACUGAGCCACCCAGAUGCCCCAGACUGAAAAUUUCUAAUGACUCAUCUUUGAACCAACAGAUUUUUUAUUCUGCUUGACCACGUCUGAUGUUUAUACUCUCUAUUGCACUUUUCAUUUCAUUCAUUGUAUUUGGGGGCUCCAGAAUUUCAGUUUGGUUCUUUUUUUCUAACUUCUAUCUCUCCACUGAACUUCCUGUUUUGUUGACAUAUUCCUUUCCUAAUUUUGUUGGGUUGUCUGUCAGUGUUCUCACUAAGCUUGCUUAGAAGUUAAUUUUGAAUUCUUUGUCAGGCAACUUUUCACUCUCCGUUUCUUUGAGGUUACUUACUGAAAAAUUGUGUUCUUUGGUGGUGUCAUGUUUCCUUGAUUUCUCAUAUUCCUUGAAGUCUUGUGUUGCUGUCUUUUCGUUUGAAGAAGGAGUAACCUCCUCCAGUCUCUACUGAGUGGCUUCAGUAGAGAAAUACUGUCACUAGUCAGCUGGCUAGGGAUUCUGAGUCUUUCUCAGAACUUUGUGUGGAUGCAUCCAGUCCACACUUUGUCUUCCCUCUGAUGGAAGACAUUUAUAAGAAUGUAUGCUUUUUCUCUACCCCACAAAGCCAGGCUUGGUGUUGAGAGCCUCCCUUAUUUUCCCUUACGGUUUUUCCCUGAAGUGCUUAUGUCUGUGUUCCUUUUCCAAAUCCUACAGAAUUAAGUUGGCUUUCUAUGUGUGUUUGCUAGAGGUCUGUAAAGGCUCAUGCUUAGCAUCUGCUGAGAUGGGUGCAGGGAGAUAGUCACAAGGUAGAGGAAAUGAGGCAUGUGGAGGGUUGGGGCUGCCAAUGGGCAGUUUGCAGAGACUGCAGGAGAGGCAUCCCCAGCAGCAGCUUUUGGGCAGGCUUCCUGACAGUCUGUGAAGCAUUUAAUAGAAUCUGCAUAUCUUGGAUGAGUUCCCAGCCCUGGUUGCUGUGCUUCCAGCCUCUCCCAGCCAUUCAGCCUUGCGGAUCACCUCAGUAUUCUGGGUAGAGCAGGAAAGAAGUGAGCCUCUUGAGAAGCAUCACACACCACUGGGGAGGCCGAGUAUUCUUUCAUAUGAUCAUACUUUCCCACAUGGGGGAAAUUGCAGACCAAUGGAAUGUCUCUUGGCAGUGAAUUCUGCUGUCUUGGAAGAGAGGUGACACAGAUAAAGUGAACUGUUCUUAUCUUCUUCAAUACAUCUGUUCUCAGAUUUGUUGCUCCAACAGUGCUGGAACUUUUCUAUUGAAUACAGAAUACCUACAAAUGUACCCUUGUCCCUGAGAGAUUGCUCUCAAACCCCUGAAUUUUGCAAAGUCAUCCUUGCCACCAGAAGCAGCCAUUCCACUACUGCCUGAGGAAAUUGACCCUUUUAUGCCUGAAGAACAUGCAGUGGUUUCCUCUGAGAUAGAUACAUUGAAUGACACUGCUGAUUCUCCUCAGGACCAAAUCCUGCUACACUUCUUUGGCUUCACACUUACACUUAGAUUCAAUUCAUACCUCAUACCAAAGAUUAGUUAUAAAUAUAACACUGAGGUGAUAGUCCACACCUCAAAAGAAUUUCAUGAUUUUUCAAUUUAUAUGGACAAAUCUGGGAACAUGUUUGGGAAUGGGUCUUGGGGAUAUGGGGUGAUGGUACAAGGAGUAUAAAAUUUGAUGACAUGAAUAUACUGAAAUAGGCUCACUAAGCAUAGAUUCUGGAUCUAAAAUUUUAGCUCCUUAAGUUGGAGAGUCUGUUUUGUUUUGCUUUGUUUUUUUGGUUGGUAGGUUGAAAAAUGGAAGGAAAUGUAGCUACAGUAAGUUAGGUUGAAAUUCCAGAAUUUCUUUGGUACAAUGUAGAGGAAAGUGAUCGAAGUCUUAUGGAGAUUUAAAUGUUAGAGCAGAUUUAUCAUGUUAGACAUGGUCACCAACCCUGGAAGGAUAGAGAAAUCAUAGUUCACCAUGAGAAAUAAUUUGUAAGAGGAAUCUCAGUAUCUUUGAAGAGCUCAAGGUUGGUUCUUCUCUGUAGAUGAGGUAUUACAGUGGGAACUCCACUGAACUGGGAUCCCUAAAUGAAUUUAAUGAUAGGAUCCCAGUGUGGUGGCAGCCAAGUGAUUAGUGGCAUUUAGUCCCAAGACCAGCUGGUUAGGAAUACUCUAAUGGACAACAGAACCAACAUAGUAUUCAGAAUAGCCUGAUAUGUGACAUUGGCUAUUGACUUUAAUGUUCCUAAAAGAAAUAGAUGUGAAGAGUACUAAAUUCUUAUUUGAUAUGUAUAAAUAGAAUAGUUCCAAGUCAUGUGAACAGAAGUCCAACUGCAUCCAUCAAAAAUAGAUACUGACUACCUCUUAAGCAGCACCCAGACACAAGCCAGUUUUAACACCCAGAAUUUAUUGAAUUCAGGAAAGGCUGCAUCUUCCUGAGUAAGUAUCCCAUUACCCUGCCAAGCAUUGCAGUUUUAUUCUUUUUCCCAGCUUCCCCCAAAGGGACCAUUUACCUGGGAUUGCCGGAUCCUGGCUCUGACAUUGAUUGAUGCUGAUUGGCCCUGGUGAGCAGGAAGUCACUGUUACCCUAGGCACAUUGAGAGAGAGAGAGCCCACAAGCAGAGAGAGCUGCAAGCAGAGCAGGCAGAGGGAGAAGACGUCUUCCUGCUGAGCAAGGAGCCCCAAGCAGGAUCAAUCCCAGGACUCUGGGAUCAUGACCUGAGCAGAUGCUUAACGGACUGAGCCACCCAGGCAUCCCAAGAGUUCAUUUUUUAAAUAGCUGAAUAAUGUUCCACUGUGUGUGUGUGUGUGUGUGUGUGUGUGUACACACAUGCAUACACACUCUACAUCUUUAUUCAUUCAUCUAUUGAUGGACACUUGAGUGCUUCCAUAAUUUGGCUAUUGAAAAUAAUGCAAUAAACAUAGGGAUGCAUAUA